rnacentral:rRNA from 1 species
CACCGAAGCUGCGGCAGCGACACUAUGUGUUGUUGGGUAGGGGAGCGUUCUGUAAGCCUGUGAAGGUGUGUCGUGAGGCAUGCUGGAGGUAUCAGAAGUGCGAAUGCUGACAUAAGUAACGAUAAAGCGGGUGAAAAGCCCGCUCGCCGGAAGACCAAGGGUUCCUGUCCAACGUUAAUCGGGGCAGGGUGAGUCGACCCCUAAGGCGAGGCCGAAAGGCGUAGUCGAUGGGAAACGGGUUAAUAUUCCCGUACUUGGUGUUACUGCGAAGGGGGGACGGAGAAGGCUAUGUUGGCCGGGCGACGGUUGUCCCGGUUUAAGCGUGUAGGUGUGUGUUCCAGGUAAAUCCGGUUCACUUUAACACUGAGGCGUGACGACGAGGCACUACGGUGCUGAAGCAACAAAUGCCCUGCUUCCAGGAAAAGCCUCUAAGCAUCAGGUAACAUCAAAUCGUACCCCAAACCGACACAGGUGGUCAGGUAGAGAAUACCAAGGCGCUUGAGAGAACUCGGGUGAAGGAACUAGGCAAAAUGGUGCCGUAACUUCGGGAGAAGGCACGCUGACACGUAGGUGAAGUGAUUUACUCAUGGAGCUGAAGUCAGUCGAAGAUACCAGCUGGCUGCAACUGUUUAUUAAAAACACAGCACUGUGCAAACACGAAAGUGGACGUAUACGGUGUGACGCCUGCCCGGUGCCGGAAGGUUAAUUGAUGGGGUCAGCGCAAGCGAAGCUCCUGAUCGAAGCCCCGGUAAACGGCGGCCGUAACUAUAACGGUCCUAAGGUAGCGAAAUUCCUUGUCGGGUAAGUUCCGACCUGCACGAAUGGCGUAAUGAUGGCCAGGCUGUCUCCACCCGAGACUCAGUGAAAUUGAACUCGCUGUGAAGAUGCAGUGUACCCGCGGCAAGACGGAAAGACCCCGUGAACCUUUACUAUAGCUUGACACUGAACAUUGAGCCUUGAUGUGUAGGAUAGGUGGGAGGCUUUGAAGUGUGGACGCCAGUCUGCAUGGAGCCGACCUUGAAAUACCACCCUUUAAUGUUUGAUGUUCUAACGUGGACCCGUGAUCCGGGUUGCGGACAGUGUCUGGUGGGUAGUUUGACUGGGGCGGUCUCCUCCUAAAGAGUAACGGAGGAGCACGAAGGUUGGCUAAUCCUGGUCGGACAUCAGGAGGUUAGUGCAAUGGCAUAAGCCAGCUUGACUGCGAGCGUGACGGCGCGAGCAGGUGCGAAAGCAGGUCAUAGUGAUCCGGUGGUUCUGAAUGGAAGGGCCAUCGCUCAACGGAUAAAAGGUACUCCGGGGAUAACAGGCUGAUACCGCCCAAGAGUUCAUAUCGACGGCGGUGUUUGGCACCUCGAUGUCGGCUCAUCACAUCCUGGGGCUGAAGUAGGUCCCAAGGGUAUGGCUGUUCGCCAUUUAAAGUGGUACGCGAGCUGGGUUUAGAACGUCGUGAGACAGUUCGGUCCCUAUCUGCCGUGGGCGCUGGAGAACUGAGGGGGGCUGCUCCUAGUACGAGAGGACCGGAGUGGACGCAUCACUGGUGUUCGGGUUGUCAUGCCAAUGGCACUGCCCGGUAGCUAAAUGCGGAAGAGAUAAGUGCUGAAAGCAUCUAAGCACGAAACUUGCCCCGAG